rnacentral:rRNA from 1 species
AACGAACGCUGGCGGCAUGCCUAACACAUGCAAGUCGAACGAGACCUUCGGGUCUAGUGGCGCACGGGUGCGUAACGCGUGGGAAUCUGCCCUUGGGUUCGGAAUAACAGUUAGAAAUGACUGCUAAUACCGGAUAAUGUCUUCGGACCAAAGAUUUAUCGCCCAGGGAUGAGCCCGCGUAGGAUUAGCUAGUUGGUGAGGUAAAGGCUCACCAAGGCGACGAUCCUUAGCCGGUCUGAGAGGAUGAUCAGCCACACUGGGACUGAGACACGGCCCAGACUCCUACGGGAGGCAGCAGUGGGGAAUAUUGGACAAUGGGCGAAAGCCUGAUCCAGCAAUGCCGCGUGAGUGAUGAAGGCCUUAGGGUUGUAAAGCUCUUUUACCCGGGAUGAUAAUGACAGUACCGGGAGAAUAAGCCCCCGGCUAACUCCGUGCCAGCAGCCGCGGUAAU